CGCGCCGCCGCUCGCGCUGCCGGGGUCUCUCAGCGCGGGGGCGGCGCCGGCGGCUGCUCCCGGGGGUCCCGGCGGAGGCGGCUCCGGCCGUGUGGGGCGAGGAGGAGGCGGCCGAGCUCCCCACGGCUGAGCGCCGGGCGGCGAGCGAGCGCAGGAUGGGGGGCGCGUGGCCGGCGCACACGGGAAGGUGACAAAAGGAGUUGUGUUGGUGAUUUGUUGGGGGCCCUGUGGGCAGUGGUGGAAGCGGCCAGCGCCGGCGCCUCGGUUCUCUGCCUGUGUGAGAAGGGAGAUGCCAAGGUCACGGAAGAGACAGGCAAGAAAGGAAAGGAAAAAGAAAUGAAAACAGGUGAGACCCAUCCCCAAAGAGAUUGUUUCCUUUUCAUCCACUGUUGUGUUUCAGGCUCCCGUUGGGCAGCUGGUGUGAAUGGGCAAGGGCACAGAGAGCAGGGCUGUGCCUGGUGUAAGAAAUGCUUCAUUCUUCCCAGAAAGCCCAGUUUUAACCCAAAUCCUGCUGCUGAAGCGUCACUAAUGAGCUUCAGCUUCCCAGCUGGAUGCAUUCAGUCAUCCAGGGUGGGCAAGAAGGCCAAGGGCAUCCUGGCCUGGAUCAGGAACAGUGUUGUCAGCAGGAGCAGGGAGCUGAUCAUUGCCCUGGACUCGCCUUUGGUGAGGCUGCACCUCCAAUAGUGUGCUCAGUUCAGGGUCUCUCUCUACAAGAAGGACAUGGAGGUGCUGGAGAGGAUCCAGAAGCAGCUACCAAGCUAGGAAAGGAAUUGGAGCACGUCUCAGAUGAGGAAGGGCUGGGGGGACUGGGGCUGUUUAGCCUGGAGAAAAGAAGGCUCAGGGGAGACCUUCUCACUCUCUACAUCUACCUGAAAGGAAGCUGCAGCGAGGUGAGGGUCAGUCUGUUCUCCCUGAUAACAAGCAAUAGAAGAAGAGGAAAACAGCCUCAAGUUGUGCCAGGGGAGGGUCAGACUGGAUGUGAGGAGGAAUUUCUUUGCUGACAGGACUGUCAGGCCUUGGAACAGCUGCCCAGGGAGCUGCUGGAGUCACCGUCCCUGGAGGGGUUUCAGAGCCGGGUGGGUGUUGCACUGAGGGAAAUGGGCUGGUGGGUGAUGGGGCUGGGACAAAGGCUGCACUCCAAGAGCUGAAAGGUCUCUCCCAGCUGAAAUGAUCCUGUGACUGUGUGAUGCCUGUGAAGUGAUGUGGCUGUGUUGGGCUGUGUGGGGCUCUGCAGGGAAGGCCACGUCCAGCCGUGACUCUGGCAGCUGGAGACAGGGCCUGGCUGCCCCCCACAGAGUCACAGAAUGAUGGGGCUUGUCAGGAACCUUUAGAGAUCUUUCAGCCCAACCCCCUGCUAAAGCAGGUUCUGCUUGGUCAGGGGCACAGGAACGUGUGCAGGUGGGUUUGGAAACCUGCCGAGAAGGAGCCUCCACACCCUCCCUGGGCAGCCUGGGCCAGGGCUCCCUCACAUUAACAGGGAAAUAUGUUCCUUAUGUUUAAAUGGAAGCUCCUCCUAAAGCCCACAGGGGAUACUUGCAGCAGCUUUUCACAGAAGCCAGUGUUUGCCCAUGGGAUAGAAAGCAGGGGAAUCUGGGGUACUUGUGGCAGGUUCUCUCCCUUCCCUGCCCCUCUGGCCACGUGGCGGGAUGGAGCUCAACCCAGACGGCACUGCUGGGAAGCUGGAGCACGGCCUGGGCAGCAGCUUCCUUGAGGAGCAGCUCUUGAAGAAGAACUCCUACCCCUGGAGUUCCCCAACCAGCUGGCCCAGACCUCAGUCUUGCCACUGCUGGGGCUUUUGCUGUGUGUUUGUUUCCCUUCCAGGCUUCACUCCCCUGCUGUGUCUGCCUUUUCCUCCCUGCCCUCUUUUCCGCCUGGUUCUGUGUUCUUCCAUCCCCUCUGUGGGUUCAAGUCUGUUUCUGGUUUUAAUAAAGAUGUAUU